rnacentral:rRNA from 1 species
CGGAGGCCGGGUAGAGAGAAGCUUGCUUCUCUUGAGAGCGGCGGACGGGUGAGUAAUACCUAGGAAUCUGCCUGAUAGUGGGGGAUAACGUUCGGAAACGGACGCUAAUACCGCAUACGUCCUACGGGAGAAAGCAGGGGACCUUCGGGCCUUGCGCUAUCAGAUGAGCCUAGGUCGGAUUAGCUAGUUGGUGAGGUAAUGGCUCACCAAGGCUACGAUCCGUAACUGGUCUGAGAGGAUGAUCAGUCACACUGGAACUGAGACACGGUCCAGACUCCUACGGGAGGCAGCAGUGGGGAAUAUUGGACAAUGGGCGAAAGCCUGAUCCAGCCAUGCCGCGUGUGUGAAGAAGGUCUUCGGAUUGUAAAGCACUUUAAGUUGGGAGGAAGGGCAGUUACCUAAUACGUGAUUGUCUUGACGUUACCGACAGAAUAAGCACCGGCUAACUCUGUGCCAGCAGCCGCGGUAAUACAGAGGGUGCAAGCGUUAAUCGGAAUUACUGGGCGUAAAGCGCGCGUAGGUGGUUUGUUAAGUUGAAUGUGAAAUCCCCGGGCUCAACCUGGGAACUGCAUCCAAAACUGGCAAGCUAGAGUAUGGUAGAGGGUAGUGGAAUUUCCUGUGUAGCGGUGAAAUGCGUAGAUAUAGGAAGGAACACCAGUGGCGAAGGCGACUACCUGGACUGAUACUGACACUGAGGUGCGAAAGCGUGGGGAGCAAACAGGAUUAGAUACCCUGGUAGUCCACGCCGUAAACGAUGUCAACUAGCCGUUGGGAGUCUUGAACUCUUAGUGGCGCAGCUCACGCAAUAAGUUGACCGCCUGGGGAGUACGGCCGCAACGUUAAACUCAAUGAAUUGACUGGGGCCCGCACAAGCCGUGGAGCAUGUGGUUUAUUUCGAACUACGUGAAGAAACAUACCACGCCUUGACAUCCAAUGACUUUCUAGCAGAUAAAUGCUGCCUUCUGCACCAUGAGACAGGUGCUGCAUGCAGUGUCACUCGCCUUGCCUGAUGAUGGGAUAAGUCCCGUAAUGAGAGCACCCCUUGUCCUUAGUUAGCAGCACGUAAUGGUGGGCACUCUCAGGAGACUACCGGUGACAAACCGGCCGAAGGUGGGGAUGACGUCAAGUUAUCAUGGCCCGUGCGGCCUGGGAUCCUCACGUGCCACAAUGGUAGGUUCAAAGGGUUGACACGCCGCGAGGUGGAGUUAAUACCAUAAAACCGAUUGUAGUCCGGAUCGCAGUCUGCAAGGUCCCUGCUGAAGUCCGAAUCACGUGGCGGUAGAAGCAGAAUUCACGGCAAUACGUUCCCGGGCAGGCACACUCCUCUUAUGCUCCCCCGCCGCCUCCAGAAAGCAACUCUUCAUGCCAAGAUCUC